rnacentral:tRNA from 1 species
AGAGAUGUAGCUCAGUUGAUAAGUGCGUGCCUGACAUGUACAAGGCCCUGGGUUCAAUCCCCGGCAUCACCC